rnacentral:rRNA from 1 species
ACGGGAGGCAGCAGUGGGGGAUAUUGCACAAUGGGCGAAAGCCUGAUCCAGCGACGCCGCGUGAGUGAAGAAGUAUUUCGGUAUGUAAAGCUCUAUCAGCAGGGAAGAUAAUGACGGUACCUGACUAAGAAGCCCCGGCUAACUACGUGCCAGCAGCCGCGGUAAUACGUAGGGGGCAAGCGUUAUCCGGAUUUACUGGGUGUAAAGGGAGCGUAGACGGUAUGGCAAGUCUGAUGUGAAAACCCAGGGCUCAACCCUGGGACUGCAUUGGAAACUGUCAAACUAGAAUGCAGGAAAGGUAAGUGGAAUUCCUAGUGUAGCGGUGAAAUGCGUAGAUAUUAGGAAGAACACCAGUGGCGAAGGCGGCUUACUGGACUGUAACUGACGUUGAGGCUCGAAAGCGUGGGGAGCAAACAGGAUUAGAUACCCUGGUA